rnacentral:rRNA from 1 species
GACGAACGCUGGCGGCGUGCCUAAUACAUGCAAGUCGAGCGGACUGAAUGGGAGCUUGCUCUUGUUCGGUCAGCGGCGGACGGGUGAGUAACACGUUGGCAACCUGCCCGCAAGACCGGGAUAACUCCGGGAAACCGGAGCUAAUACCGGAUAACACCGAAGACCGCAUGGUCUUUGGUUGAAAGGCGGCGCAAGCUGCCACUUGCGGAUGGGCCCGCGGCGCAUUAGCUAGUUGGUGAGGUAACGGCUCACCAAGGCGACGAUGCGUAGCCGGCCUGAGAGGGUGACCGGCCACACUGGGACUGAGACACGGCCCAGACUCCUACGGGAGGCAGCAGUAGGGAAUCUUCCGCAAUGGGCGAAAGCCUGACGGAGCGACGCCGCGUGAGCGAAGAAGGCCUUCGGGUCGUAAAGCUCUGUUGUGAGGGACGAAGGAGCGCCGUUUGAAGAAGGCGGCGCGGUGACGGUACCUCACGAGGAAGCCCCGGCUAACUACGUG